CUACAUGCAUCCUAAUUAGUGUGUAGGAUAGUAUUUGUUCUUAUCAGUUUAAUAUAUGAUAUGUAAUCUAAUGAGUCGCACGAUAUUAAAUUACUUUUUUGAAAAGGUCACUUCAAUAGUUUGCUAUUGAACUUCUCAUGUGUAAUUCAUGUGUUGCACUAUUGCACGAGAGCCUGACGCACCCCAC
rfam:Medicago truncatula strain A17 chromosome 4, whole genome shotgun sequence.